rnacentral:lncRNA from 8 species
CUCCGCUAGAGCAAGAAUUAUGAAAACCCUGACAUCUGCAGAGGCUGCACCGCAGUAAAUGCUGAACGGCCACUUCGGAUUAACCAUGCAGCUUAGUGUGCAGUGGACAUGGAUGAGUGAUGCAGUGAGCUCCGAAUCACACAGAAAAUACCAGAACCCAGUGAUGGCAGAGAUAAUGGAAGCGAAUCAUACAGCUGGUAAAAACAACUAGUGUCAACUGAGCCCCUUCUCCUAUGACUCGGGGCCCUGUGCAACCAGUUCAGCUAGGGUUAGAGACCAGCCCUGCCAGGUCCCCAUUUUCACUUUUUUACAAAUUAGAUGUAGCUUUUAAUUGAACCCUGAGUUGACCAGAGAAAGCAGACCACUGCCCUAUUACCACACACACACCUGCAGGUCAGGAACAAAGUUGGGGUCGAUUAAUGGUUGGACCACAGUUUUCUGGGGGCAUCUGGGGAGUGUCUUAGGUAAUUAUGUGUCUGAGACUGAGACAACGCCUGUGUAUCUGUUUGUAAACAAAUAUAAGUCUCCAUCUCCCUAAACCGAACUCAUAAUUUCACAACAAGCUGUAAUCAAUUACUGACUGAUGAGUUGUAGUAGAACUGGAGGCCUUUGCUGUACAUCUAGUUUCCUAUCCAGGAGAAAGACUGCCAUCUAGUGGAUAUUGACUGUAUGUGACCAUUAGGCCACAAAGCACUAGACUGAAGUAGUCUUGUCAAAUCUGGCUUUAAUAGUUGCAUUAAAAUCGGAGGAAUUUAGAAAUUAAGAAAAUAGUCUGAUGCUGUUAUAUUAAGAGUGUUUAUUAGACAAAAACAUACAAAUGUCACAAUAGUUAAAUCAUUACAAAAUUACUAUUUUUGUGCAUGUACAAUGUGUAUGACAAACAAACAUACAUUACAAACACAAGUAACAAAAGGUUACCCUAAAAUCAUUCUAAUAAAAUAUCUUUGACAUUUGGCCACGCAGAAGCUGACAUGUAAAAACCACAAUGGGGGACCCACAAUGCUUUGCUUGUGUGCUUGCCUAAGCCGGUCCUGAAGGACUCCUAUGCACUCCCGAGUGUCGCAAAAGGCAUCACUACAGUCCUUGGUUCGAUUCCAGGCUGUAUCACAUCUGUACGUGAUUGGGAGUCCCAUAGGGCGACGCACAUAGGGCCCAGCGUCGUCCCGGUUUGGCCGGGGUAGGCCGUCAUGACUUGCCUAGUUAAAUAAAUGUUAAAUAAAAAAUAAAAAUUGUGUGCAGGCUUUCAUCUUCAUAUCACACUGAUCAAUGGGCAUCACUUAAACAUAAUCAAGCACGGUUUGAGAUAAACCUGUUCACAGAAGGAUCCUCCAGAUCCAGCUCUGAUACAUGUUGAUAGCUAUGUCUCCUAGGUGAUAUCAUCUCUCUUCAGGCUGGUUCACAGUGUCUAGGUUUCUCUGAGCACCUGGAGGUUCUCCUGACUCACCCCUGCUCUCAUUUCAAACACCCCCCCUCCCGUGAGG